rnacentral:rRNA from 1 species
UACGAAGGGGGGCUAGCGUUGUUCGGAUUUACUGGGCGUAAAGCGCACGUAGGCGGAUUGUUAAGUGAGGGGUGAAAGCCCAGGGCUCAACCCUGGAAUUGCCUUCGAUACUGAGAGUCUUGAGUUCGGAAGAGGUUGGUGGAACUGCGAGUGUAGAGGUGAAAUUCGUAGAUAUUCGCAAGAACACCAGUGGCGAAGGCGGCCAACUGGUCCAUUACUGACGCUGAGGCGCGACAGCGUGGGGAGCAAACAGG